rnacentral:lncRNA from 1 species
CACCUUCGUGACCCAGAGUCUACUACAGCACUGGGGAGCCAGUUUUAGGAGAGGCACCAGCUUUGACUCUUGGAGCUAGCUGGUGGAAGUGAUAGAUGAGUAUCUGAUAUUAGCAAGACUUCUACAAAAAGAGGCCCAAGCUCAACGCGAGAAUUCACAGAAUAACAAAAGAAACCCACAGGCAAUGUUGCAACACGCUUGGAAUUGUGAAGUGCAGCUUUACAUUCCACACAGUUUCAAGAAGAACUGAAAUCGGAGGACCUGAAGAAACUGUAACUAAUCCUAAAGAAUAUUUUUACAUAUAAUAAAGAAUUUCCAUUUGACGUUCAGCCUGUCCCCUUAAAAAGAACUUUAGUACCUGAUGAAAAACAGUAUUUGGAAUUUGAAGAAGAUGAAGAACAGGGUGGUGCUGGAGCAGGGUCUCCCGAUUCUUUUCCCGCUAGAGUUCCUGGUACGCUACUACUUGUAUUAACUUUAUUACCAAAGUUGCUAUCAGAACCAAGAGCGGUGUUACUCACUACUAGAACUGAGAACAUUGGUCUGAAAUAUGCUAAGCAGCACAUAUCACUACUUUAUUACCAAAGUUGUUGUCAGAAUCAGGAGUGGUGUUACUCACUACUAGAAUUGAGAAAAUUCGCCUGAAAUAUGCUAUAUUACAGUUAGUAUCAAGGAGCUGAAUGACAUAGAUUUAAGUACUGUGCAAGAUACUCCUGUGGCUUUAAGAAAAGAAGAUACAUAUGUUCAUUUUAAUGUGAACAUUGAGCUACAGAAGUAUAUUAAAAAAUUAACCAAAGGUGAGGCUCUCUUCCUUAAAUUCAAAGACUACAAGCCUACAAAAAUGUUUAUCAGCACUUCAUGGAGAUGGAUGAAAUUAAACCUUGGCCGCUUGUAAUAGAACUGUACAAAAAACCUACUGACUUUAAAAAAUGAAAUUGCAAUUACAGACCAAGAAACCAUUUGAUCUUCAUUUAUUAAUACAUCAAACUUUGCACAAGGA